GAUGAACGCUAGCUACAGGCUUAACACAUGCAAGUCGAGGGGUAACGAGAGGAAAGCUUGCUUUCCUUGUCGACGACCGGCGCACGGGUGAGUAACGCGUAUCCAACCUGCCCCCAACUAAGGAAUAACCUUGCGAAAGUAAGACUAAUACCUUAUAAUUUCCUCAGAUGUCAUCUGACGAGGAAUAAAGAUUUAUCGGUUGUGGAUGGGGAUGCGUCUGAUUAGCUUGUUGGCGGGGUAACGGCCCACCAAGGCAACGAUCAGUAGGGGUUCUGGGAGGAGGGUCCCCCACAUUGGAGCUGAGGCACGGUCCAAACUCCUACGGGAGGCAGCAGUGAGGAAUAUUGGUCAAUGGGCGAAAGCCUGAACCAGCCAAGUAGCGUGCAGGAUGACGGCCCUAUGGGUUGUAAACUGCUUUUAUACAGGAAUAAAGUUAGCCACGUGUGGUUAUUUGUAGGUACUGUAUGAAUAAGGACCGGCUAAUUCCGUGCCAGCCGCCGCGGUAA
rnacentral:rRNA from 1 species